GUCUCUCUGGUAAAGCUAAGCCCAAGAAUAGGGUUUAACAGACAGGAGACAAUGAAGAAGAACUCUACAGGAGCAGGUUACCUUCCUGCAGGGGAAGCUCUAAGGAACAGACAACAAGGGAAAUACAAGAUACAGUGAAGGAGAGAGCCACCUCUUUGUCAUCACAUCACAGAUGGUUCCACAGCUAGACUAUGUCUCUCACAGUGUUCUGCAGCCAAGAACUCCUAGGAUGACUCAGCAAGAUGGGAGAGAGAGUCUGGCAGGAAGUCUGGCCCAUAGAGAUGAAAUAAAGCAUGAAGCCCUG